rnacentral:tRNA from 1 species
GCCGGGUCUAUAGCGGGUUCAGCUGCCGAAGUUUCCGGCUCUGGCUCGGGUUCUCGUUCGGGUUCUGGCUCGGGUUCCGGCUCGGAAAUCGGUUC